UGCGCGNCUANCAUGCAAGUUGAGCGCUGAAGGUUGGUACUUGUACCGACUGGAUGAGCAGCGAACGGGUGAGUAACGCGUGGGGAAUCUGCCUUUGAGCGGGGGACAACAUUUGGAAACGAAUGCUAAUACCGCAUAAAAACUUUAAACACAAGUUUUAAGUUUGAAAGAUGCAAUUGCAUCACUCAAAGAUGAUCCCGCGUUGUAUUAGCUAGUUGGUGAGGUAAAGGCUCACCAAGGCGAUGAUACAUAGCCGACCUGAGAGGGUGAUCGGCCACAUUGGGACUGAGACACGGCCCAAACUCCUACGGGAGGCAGCAGUAGGGAAUCUUCGGCAAUGGACGAAAGUCUGACCGAGCAACGCCGCGUGAGUGAAGAAGGUUUUCGGAUCGUAAAACUCUGUUGGUAGAGAAGAACGUUGGUGAGAGUGGAAAGCUCAUCAAGUGACGGUAACUACCCAGAAAGGGACGGCUAACUACGUGCCAGCAGCCGCGGUAAUACGUAGGUCCCGAGCGUUGUCCGGAUUUAUUGGGCGUAAAGCGAGCGCAGGUGGUUUAUUAAGUCUGGUGUAAAAGGCAGUGGCUCAACCAUUGUAUGCAUUGGAAACUGGUAGACUUGAGUGCAGGAGAGGAGAGUGGAAUUCCAUGUGUAGCGGUGAAAUGCGUAGAUAUAUGGAGGAACACCGGUGGCGAAAGCGGCUCUCUGGCCUGUAACUGACACUGAGGCUCGAAAGCGUGGGGAGCAAACAGGAUUAGAUACCCUGGUAGUCCACGCCGUAAACGAUGAGUGCUAGAUGUAGGGAGCUAUAAGUUCUCUGUAUCGCAGCUAACGCAAUAAGCACUCCGCCUGGGGAGUACGACCGCAAGGUUGAAACUCAAAGGAAUUGACGGGGGCCCGCACAAGCGGUGGAGCAUGUGGUUUAAUUNGAAGCAACGCGAAGAACCUUACCAGGUCUUGACAUACUCGUGCUAUUCCUAGAGAUAGGAAGUUCCUUCGGGACACGGGAUACAGGUGGUGCAUGGUUGUCGUCAGCUCGUGUCGUGAGAUGUUGGGUUAAGUCCCGCAACGAGCGCAACCCCUAUUGUUAGUUGCCAUCAUUAAGUUGGGCACUCUAACGAGACUGCCGGUGAUAAACCGGAGGAAGGUGGGGAUGACGUCAAAUCAUCAUGCCCCUUAUGACCUGGGCUACACACGUGCUACAAUGGAUGGUACAACGAGUCGCGAGACAGUGAUGUUUAGCUAAUCUCUUAAAACCAUUCUCAGUUCGGAUUGUAGGCUGCAACUCGCCUACAUGAAGUNGGAAUCGCUAGUAAUCGCGGAUCAGCACGCCGCGGUGAAUACGUUCCCGGGCCUUGUACACACCGCCCGUCACACCACGGGAGUUGGGAGUACCCGAAGUAGGUUGCCUAACCGCAAGGAGGGCGCUUCCUAAGGUAAGACCGAUGAGCUGGGGGAAGUC
rnacentral:rRNA from 1 species